rnacentral:rRNA from 1 species
GACGAACGCUGGCGGCGUGCUUAACACAUGCAAGUCGAACGAUGAAGGCGGGAGCUUGCUCCUGCUGGAUUAGUGGCGAACGGGUGAGUAACACGUGAGCAAUCUGCCCUUGACUCUGGGAUAAGCGUUGGAAACGACGUCUAAUACCGGAUACGACCCUCGGAGGCAUCUCCUGGGGGUGGAAAGAAUUUUGGUCAAGGAUGAGCUCGCGGCCUAUCAGCUAGUUGGUGAGGUAAUGGCUCACCAAGGCGACGACGGGUAGCCGGCCUGAGAGGGUGACCGGCCACACUGGGACUGAGACACGGCCCAGACUCCUACGGGAGGCAGCAGUGGGGAAUAUUGCGCAAUGGGCGAAAGCCUGACGCAGCGACGCCGCGUGAGGGACGACGGCCUUCGGGUUGUAAACCUCUUUCAGCAGGGACGAAGCGAAAGUGACGGUACCUGCAGAAGAAGCACCGGCCAACUACGUGC